AUACAUUGUGCCUGAAGGAAUAAAUAUCCAGGCCCCCUUUGGAACACAGGAUAGGAAAAGUAUAGGGAUAUGUUCUCCUAAUCCUGUAGGAUUCAAUAGUACUGGAAAAUAGAUAGGAAGCUCUUUGGUAGCACCAUAGGAAAAGCAAACGAAUUUCACACAACAGUUGGAAUUUGAAUAGCUAGCAGUUGCAUUUCGAAAAGGCACAUAGAUAGCAUAUCUCCAAAUUUGCUCAGUCACAAAUGGCAUACAACAACAUAUAUCUGUAUAUGCAUCCAAUCUGAUGAACAAUGUAGCAGA
rnacentral:lncRNA from 1 species